rnacentral:rRNA from 1 species
CCUACGGGGGGCUGCAGUGGGGAAUAUUGGACAAUGGGCGAAAGCCUGAUCCAGCCAUGCCGCGUGUGUGAAGAAGGCCUUCGGGUUGUAAAGCACUUUCAGUGGGGAAGAAAGCCUUGGGGCUAAUACCCUCGAGGAAGGACAUCACCCACAGAAGAAGCACCGGCUAACUCCGUGCCAGCAGCCGCGGUAAUACGGAGGGUGCGAGCGUUAAUCGGAAUUACUGGGCGUAAAGCGCGCGUAGGCGGUCUGAUAAGCCGGUUGUGAAAGCCCCGGGCUCAACCUGGGAACGGCAUCCGGAACUGUCAGGCUAGAGUGCAGGAGAGGAAGGUAGAAUUCCCGGUGUAGGAGUGAAAUGCGUAGAGAUCGGGAGGAAUACCAGUGGCGAAGGCGGCCUUCUGGACUGACACUGACGCUGAGGUGCGAAAGCGUGGGUAGCAAACAGGAUUAGAUACCCGGGUAGUC